UAUUGUUGACGAACAAGAUGGCGUCUGGCAAAGUAUAUUGAAUCAUGCAAAGUUGCAUCAAAAGUCAUGUCUAAUAAAGUUAAGACAGGGAUCUUUAUCGGGGGAUUUGUAGCAUUCACUCUUGCCGCGUUGUAUCCUGCUGUGAUCUAUCCAAAAUUGCACCCAGAGGUUUUCCAGCAAAUUCAGAAUGAAACAAGAAAAGAUAUAAAACAGGAAGAGAUUCAACCUGGAAAUAUGAAGGUCUGGUCUGAUCCAUUUUCAAGAAAAUAAAUCAAAAGAAGAUGUUACAAAAAGACCUACUUUCAACUGCUUUUGGAGAAGAGGAACAGAGAGUGGAAAAGAAUGCAAAGGGCACCUCUAGAUAUAUUCUGUGAAAGAAUUUUGUUGUGACAAGACCCCUGUUAUCAGGAACAACAUUCAGUGAUGUAAUGUGACUCGACAAUAAAAAAAAAAAAAAAAAAAAUUUGCAACAGA